GGUCGAGUAGCUCAGUUGGUUAGAGCUCUGUCCCCGGAAGGUGGCAGGGACCUGGGUUCAAUUCCCAGCUUGGUCA
rnacentral:tRNA from 1 species